GGGUGUAUAGCUCAGUUGGUAGAGCAUUGGGCUUUUAACCUAAUGGUCGCAGGUUCGCCUU
rnacentral:tRNA from 1 species